GUCCUCUUAGCUCAGUGGUAGAGCGCCAGACUUGUCUGGAGGAAAUCGACACUUGCAUCUGGAGCGCGCGAGUUCGAUUCUCGCAGAGGACG